UUCUUUUUCAGUUGGUAGCAACCUCCAUGGUUGAUCAUCAUCUUCUUUUAUAUUUUUCUCACUUUUUUCUCCAUUUUCCCUUAAAAGCUUUGCCUUCCACCUUAAGCUUUUGUUAAAAUCUUUAUGGAUAUAAUCUCCUAAGCUUAAUUCUUCCAUCAAUUUCUUCAAUGGAAGCCUAAGGUUUAUGGAGCUUGAAUGAGAGAAGUUAAAGCUACAGUGAGAAUGCUUUAAUAAGGUAAGAAAUGACUUCCUACACCUCCACAAACUUGACAAUUGUUGUGAAAUAUUAUGAGAAGGAAUUUAUAUUGAUUUUUGGAUUAUAUUUUUGAAUAUGGAAACUGAAGAAAUGAUAAAAAAAAUAGAGUUUACAAGCUUGAUUGAGGACGAAUUAGAGCUUAUCGAGGUAAUGAUUAAGUAUUUUAGAGCAUCUAUUAAGGUAAGUACCCUUGGAUACUCUUACUUUUCCUAUACUAAAAUGCUUAGGAAAAUAAUGAAUUUAAAUUGUUCAUAUGAAAAUAGUGUAAUAAAUAUGAUAUUUGUUAUAUGAAUAUAUAUUAAAUGUGUUAUAAUUGGGUGAAUGCGUUUAAUAUGGCACUUGAAUUACUUGGCUAUUAAUAUUUGCACUGAAACAAUUUUGGGACAGAAACAGUAGUGUGUCUGAAAAUUCAUCAAAAAUGGUAGAAAUUGAAUUAGAAGUUGAGCCACAUAUGGUUUGAAAGCUUACGGGUUUAGUUUUUAUUGGAACAAACGGAACUUUAAUUCGAAUUAUACAAUAAUAGAUAAAUAUGUUUAAGUGAGGGAAGGUUGAAACUAUUGGUAGCAUCCCCUUUUUCGUCUUUGAAAAUUUGUUAAUAAUAGUAUAAAAUGAAUUAGACAAUUAGCCUUAUAUGCAUAAAACUAUUAUUAAGUAUAUUUUCUAAUAAAAGUAAUGGUGAAUUCAUCCAAAUUAUAUUUUAGAAUUAAAAUAUUUUUGAGCGAAAAGAGGUUAGAGUUGUUUGGAAACAACUUUGUCCUGACUUCAAAAAUUUUCUAGCAUGUGUGUACAAGAGUAAAAAUUUUGGAAAUUUUUUUGAUUGAAGGUUCAAGAGUCUAGUUUCAAGAACAUCAAACAGAUCUUGAUUUUGAAUUUUUUUUGUAUUGAGAAAUAAAUAAUUUAGUGACUGCUACUCAGAUAGAAAAUUUUGUAUUGAAAGGUAAAGAAAAAUAAAAAUAUGACUCUACACAAAUUGAAACUAUUAAAAGAAAUCGACAUAUGCACAAGGCUUAAAGAAAUGUGGAAAUGCGUUUGUAAAUGUAAAGCACCUAUGGUGCCUUCAUUCGAAAAAUGAACAUGCCUGCAAGUAGACCUAAUUAUGGGUCGGGGCACCCGCCUAUGCCCAAAGGACCGCUCGAAAAGUGGGAGGUUUGGGCAAAAAUAUUUUCCCAAAAAAUGGGUUUGGACAAAAAAAUAAGUCUCAUUUUUUAGUCAGGCCUUGAGUAAGAUUUUUUGGCUCGGUUCGAAUUUGCUUAAAAAAAUUCAUUGCUAUUUACUAUUGUUUGUUGUUGUUUGUUGUCAUAUUGAUGUUGUUUUAUUGUCAUUUUGCUAUUAUAUUGCUACAUUUCAUUGUUAUUAUUUGGAUAUUGUACAAUUCUUGUUUUAUUAUUAAUUUUACUACUAUUUUAGAGGCAUUUGCUUGCUAAGUUGCAACUAUCUUAGUGUUAUUUAAAUAUAAAGUCUUUUUUAAUGUAUUUUUAAUUUGUCAGGAAACAUUUAUUUUAAUAUUUUUAGUGUAUUUGAUGUUUUAUAUUUUUAAAUUUUUUAUAUAAAAAAAUUAAUAUGGGUGGGUCAGAUCGAGCUCGAGUUUAGCAUUUUUUAUUUGGUCCGAGCUUGAUGCAAAAUUUUAGGCCCAUUUUUUGGGCCAAGUCAAGCCCGAGCCUAUAUAACGAGCCUAAAAUUUUGUAUUGGCUUGACCCAUGAUCAGGUCUACUUGCAAGGCCUUUUAUUAAUAUGGAUUUGAUUAUAAGUAUGUGAAAUCACUCAAAGUGCCAUUAUGUGUGUGUAUGUAUGUGUUAAUGGCAUUGAUACAUAUAUGUUAAUUAUGAUUGUAAAGUGCCCUAGUAGACUUAGCGAAAUGUAAGGAUACGGUUGACAUGCCAAUAGGGAUUAUUAGUGCACGUACAUGUUAUAUGAAGAUUUAAAGAUCGGUUAUAUUACCUUAGCUUGACAUUUCAAUGUGGGUCAAAUGGAUGUUCUCCAUUGAGAACCUUGGUUGUGUGGGUCAUAGCACUCUUAAUGCUAUAUCUCGGUUGUGGAGGUUGGAAGGCACAUUUGUCCAAUGAUUGUAUUCAUAUUUGGUUGUAUGGGAUGGAAUUCCCGUGAAUCUUAGUUGAUUUUGCUAAAGUUUAUUAUGGCAAAAAAAUGAACUAAAAUGAAAAUGAUAAUGGUAGAAGUGAAUAUAAAUGGCUAAAAACAAAACAUUGGGUUAUAACAAAAAGGGUUCUCACUAAAUGAAAUGAAAAGAAUGCAAAUGAAUGGUUGAGCUAAUAAGAAUUUAAUGUGAAAAUACGUUACUAUGGAAUUGAAACGAUAAUAAGUUUAAGUGUACAUGUAUGUGGGCUAUGUGAGUUUACCCAUAAUGAAAUUAUAGUAAUUGGCUCUCUUGUUUACCUUAGAAUAGGAAAAUGGGUGAAACUUAUAGUAUGGGAAGGAAAUGUAUGAAAAGUUAUAUAUAUAUAUGAAUGAAUGACAAUGUUGGAAAUUAAGGUACAAAAGAUUAAAUACUAUAUGAACUGUUCACGAAAAUUUUAUAUAUGAAUUUCAUAAUGUGAUAAGUUAACGAACCAUAAAGUGGUAAGUUGAGCCCUGUAAGUUGAUUGCAUUAAUUAAUUUGUUAAUGGAAUUAAAAUGUGGCUUGAACGAAUUGACAAAGACAUGUUUAAGAAGGGCUCAACACUAACAAAGCAUAAGAUAAGUAGGUUUACUCAUUGAUACUUAUUGAGCUUUUUAAGCUCACACAUUAGUUGUUUAAAAACGCAUAGGUAAAGGACGUUGCUCGAGAAACUUGAAGCUUUGUUCGGGAGCAUCACAUCACCUAUCAAGUUUUAAGGUUGUUCUUUAAUUAUUAAAUGUUAUUUUCAUAUGUUGUAGGCAUGUACAUAGAGACUAAGAAUAUCAUAAGUGUUUAUAAAUUUUUGGAAUUGUAAAAUCAAGUGUUGUUUGUAACCUCCUUGAAAGGUUAAGAUAAGUUUUUGAAUUAUAAAUUAGUAAUUUGAAC
rnacentral:lncRNA from 1 species